rnacentral:rRNA from 1 species
UACGGGGGGAGCAAGCGUUGUUCGGAUUUACUGGGCGUAAAGGGCGCGUAGGCGGUCAGCACAAGUCAGUUGUGAAAUCUCCGGGCUUAACUCGGAAAGGUCAACUGAUACUGUGUGACUAGAGUGCGGAAGGGGCAACUGGAAUUCUCGGUGUAGCGGUGAAAUGCGUAGAUAUCGAGAGGAACACCUGCGGCGAAGGCGGGUUGCUGGGCCGACACUGACGCUGAUGCGCGAAAGCCAGGGGAGCGAACGGG